rnacentral:piRNA from 1 species
UAGGAUGAGAACUAUAUCCUUGCAUAGUCC